rnacentral:rRNA from 1 species
UACGGGAAGGCAGCAGUGGGGAAUAUUGCACAAUGGGCGCAAGCCUGAUGCAGCCAUGCCGCGUGUAUGAAGAAGGCCUUCGGGUUGUAAAGUACUUUCAGUCGUGAGGAAGGUGUUAAGGUUAAUAACCUUAGCAAUUGACGUUAGCGACAGAAGAAGCACCGGCUAACUCCGUGCCAGCAGCCGCGGUAAUACGGAGGGUGCGAGCGUUAAUCGGAAUUACUGGGCGUAAAGGGCACGCAGGCGGUUAAUUAAGUUGGAUGUGAAAUCCCCGGGCUUAACCUGGGAAUGGCAUUCAAGACUGGUUAGCUAGAGUCUUGUAGAGGGGGUAGAAUUCCAUGUGUAGCGGUGAAAUGCGUAGAGAUGUGGAGGAAUACCGGUGGCGAAGGCGGCCCCUGGGACAAAGACUGACGCUCAUGUGCGAAAGCGUGGGGAGCGAAACAGGAUUUAGAUACC